GAUGAAGAACGCAGCGAAAUGCGAUAAGUAAUGUGAAUUGCAGAAUCCAGUGAAUCAUCGAAUCUUUGAACGCACAUUGCGCCCGCCAGCAUUCUGGCGGGCAUGCCUGUUCGAGCGUCAUUUCAACACUCGACCUCCCCUUGGGGAGGUCGGCGUUGGGGACCGGCAGCACACCGCCGGCCCUGAAAUGGAGUGGCGGCCCGUCUGCGGCGACCUCUGCGUAGUAAUACAGCUCGCACCGGAACCCCGACGCGGCCACGCCGUAAAACACCCAACUUCUGAACGUUGACCUCGAAUCAGGUAGGACUACCCGCUGAACUUAAGCAUAUCAAUAAGCGGAGGA
rnacentral:misc_RNA from 1 species